UACGUAGGGGGCACGCGUUGUCCGGAUUUAUUGGGCGUAAAGAGCGUGUAGGCGGCCUGAAAGGUCAGCUGUGAAAACUUGGGGCUCAACCCCGAGACGUCGGUUGAAACCAUCUGGCUAGAGUCCGGAAGAGGAGUGUGGAAUUCCCGGUGUAGCGGUGAAAUGCGCAGAUAUCAGGAGGAACACCGGUGGCGAAGGCGGUGGGCUGGGCCGGCACUGACGCUGAGGAGCGAAAGCGUGGGGAGCGAACAGG
rnacentral:rRNA from 1 species